AUUGAACGCUGGCGGCAUGCUUUACACAUGCAAGUCGAACGGUAACAGGCCGCAAGGUGCUGACGAGUGGCGAACGGGUGAGUAAUGCAUCGGAACGUGCCCAGUCGUGGGGGAUAACGCAGCGAAAGCUGCGCUAAUACCGCAUACGAUCUAUGGAUGAAAGCGGGGGACCGAAAGGCCUCGCGCGAUUGGAGCGGCCGAUGUCAGAUUAGGUAGUUGGUGGGGUAAAGGCUCACCAAGCCAACGAUCUGUAGCUGGUCUGAGAGGACGACCAGCCACAGUGGGACUGGUACACAGCCCAGACUCCUACGGGAGGCAGCAGUGGGGAAUUUUGGACAAUGGGCGCAAGCCUGAUCCAGCAAUGCCGCGUGCAGGAAGAAGGCCUUCGGGUUGUAAACUGCUUUUGUACGGAACGAAAAGGCUCUGGUUAAUACCUGGGGCUCAUGACGGUACCGUAAGAAUAAGCACCGGCUAACUACGUGCCAGCAGCCGCCGCGGUAA
rnacentral:rRNA from 1 species